CCUCAAUCUGUGCCUCAGCAUUUGGAGCAGAAGCCUCCUCUGACUCUCUAGAAUGAUAAGAUGGCUCUGCAUCUCGACGGUCCACUUCCAUCCUUUUCUGCUGUCCUUCGUUGCUUUCGAAUCAGCGAAGUGCUUUUUCAUCAACUGUCGGACUUUCUGCGGGCAUUUUCGAUCCAUAGAUACAUCAGGAUAACUACCAGUCA
rnacentral:lncRNA from 1 species